rnacentral:rRNA from 1 species
AUUGAACGCUGGCGGCAUGCUUUACACAUGCAAGUCGAACGGUAACAGGGUGCUUGCACCGCUGACGAGUGGCGAACGGGUGAGUAAUGCGUCGGAACGUGCCGAGUAGUGGGGGAUAACGCAUCGAAAGGUGUGCUAAUACCGCAUACGUACUGAGGUAGAAAGUGGGGGACCUUCGGGCCUCACGCUAUUCGAGCGGCCGACGUCUGAUUAGCUAGUUGGUGAGGUAAAGGCUCACCAAGGCGACGAUCAGUAGCGGGUCUGAGAGGAUGAGCCGCCACACUGGGACUGAGACACGGCCCAGACUCCGACGGGAGGCAGCAGUGGGGAAUUUUGGACAAUGGGCGCAAGCCUGAUCCAGCCAUGCCGCGUGUCUGAAGAAGGCCUUCGGGUUGUAAAGGACUUUUGUCCGGGAGCAAAUACCCAGUGCUAAUAACGCUGGGGGCUGAGAGUACCGGAAGAAUAAGCACCGGCUAACUACGUGCCAGCCGCCGCAGUAA